rnacentral:lncRNA from 1 species
AGCUUCUUCUCAUCAACACCUCAUCGUCUUCCAUUUUGAGUUCCAUCGGAUUCCGAUCACAGGUAAUUCCCGACUAAUCUGUCCGUCGCUUAGAUACAUCUCCUGAAAUUUCAAAUGCUCAGCUAUCGUAUAAUGCUCUGUUUCCAUUGAAAUUGAUAAACAUGAAAACCGCAGACGAUUUCAUCAAACUUUCCAAUUUUUAUUAGGAGCUAGAUAUGCUGAUUUAUCUUUUAUAUUAGUGUAACUUACAGUAAUUAAUUACAUUUUGUGUGUUCUUCGUUGAAGUGAUAAAGCUGACAUACUUGUAGUAUCCGCCUGAAAAAUUAGGUCAUGUUGAUUUGAUCUGGUAGCAUUAGUAGUUUGCAUUUUAUAACUUAUUGCAAUAAUGAAGUUGAUCGUUUUCAUGAAAACACUGAGUUCAAACCGCCUAUUUUGGAUAUAGAUCGUGCCUAUAUUAUUCAUUUUUGGAGUUAAACAACUAAUAAUUACUUUGUUUAAAUUGAGUUAUGUUAUACCAGGAAUGAGGAAUGCUGAAAAUUUAUAUAACAAAUCCAAUACCUUUUUGUUGAAGAUGUCAAGUUUUGCCAAAUUAUUUCAGUUUUUUUUCUUUCUGAACAGUAGAAGUCAGAUGUCAACUUAUUCAAUCUCAUCAAAAGGUUUAAGCUAUUAGAAAAUGAGCACUUAUAUUUAUUUAUUAAGUAGCAUCCGUAACAUGCCAUUUACAUGCGGGCUUAGUUAUUUUCUUGGCCAAACAUUUGGAAAUAUUAAUUUGAGGAGUAGCAGUGAGGUACAAACAAAAAUUCCGCACAUAGAAUUGUGUAAGCUUGUCUUAUCUAAAAGUUAAAUGCAUUAGAGAAGAGACUCUUUUUUUCUUUACUAUUUACAUUUACCACAUGUAGACAUAGGUCUGUUGCCCCUCAAGCCUUUUAGAGGAUGUAAACUUUGUUUUAUAUUUCAUUAGGACUAUUGCCUUGCUUAUAGAAGAUGAUGAUUCCUGUAAAGCAACAACAUAAUUCUAUUAUCUAAUUAACGAGAAAAGAUCCAACCUUGCUGAUCAUCUGGUUCUUUCUUCUUUCAUUAACAAAGAAAUGAGAUUAAACCAAUUACGUUGAGCUCCCUAGGAUCUAACUGCAGCGCUAAAGGAGGAAAAGUGGUUUUACUUCUCAAGUAUGGCAUUCCAAUUGAAAUACUAUUUUAAUUUUUGAUAAGAUUGAACAAUGAUUUUUCUUGCGGGAACAGCCAGACUAUAAAGAAUAGCAGUUACUGAGUGGUUGAAUGUUAUUAUUAUUUGCUGUUUCAUGCUGUCAUGCAUAGACAAACUUUGGAUUAUUGGAAACAUAUUUUAAGAAAAAUACGAAAAUUUGGCUUUCUGCAGUCUACUUAUGUGGUGGUGCUGAAUCAGUAAGACGUUAGCAUAGUUCAUUCGCAAACAACAUCAAGAGAAAGACAUCGGUUGCCUAAGAACUAUGCUGUUACUGAAUACUGUGCCAAGCUAAUCUACCCGUGAAUUAGUUUCAACACUACAAAGAAGGUACGCCACAACAAUACGAUGUGUAAUAUCAUCACUGAACUUCCCACUUCCCUAGAUUACAGACUCAAGUUAUUUGAAAUUAUCUUUCUUGGGAUAGCCUGUGUGUCAAGCCCCACUUGUGGGAUUUCACCGGUAUGUUAUUGUAGAUAGGCUAGCAAAAUAAGUUUUGACACUUGUAUUGUGAUAUACCUAGGAGGUGAAUGUUAAAUAUGAUAUAUUUACAUUUUUUCAAAAGUUCAGGUUUUAAUUGAGAGGAGGAACCAGUGCAAAUCACUAAAAAGGGAGGUGAUACCUGUACUACAAAAACAUGACGGAAAAUAUUCAUAAGAAAUUGUAGAAUGGGAGUUCACUGUUGUUGGAGUUUGUUGAUUAGUGUUACUGGUAAUUGUUGAUUCCCCCCAUGAAUGUGCUCUUUUUCACCUUUUACAUAAGGAAGAAGUAGGAUUGAGUCACAUUUACUAUAGUUGUGCUUGUAUGCGAGUAGGUUGUGAUAAAAUGACAUACUUGAAUAAACUCUGAAACUCUGAAGAUAACAAUUAAAGCUAGGAACAGUGAAUUCUGGAAUCAGUGGACUGCUUUAUGACAUGUUUCUCCUGUUCAGGGUAUGCUUGCCGUAAACAACCUGACAGGCACAACCCUCUCUCCUGUCGUCCUGUUUAACUAUCUUAGGCAUGCAACUUUCAAAGGAAAAAAAAAUCUCCCACUGUACUUGGCCAAUUCCAUUGACUAAGCUGCUUUAGUGGAAGGUUCCUGGUGUUUCUCUUCCUAUUUUUUCUGUUGCAGAUUCAUUACUGAUUUUAAAAAAUCAAUCCGGUAGACUUGCAUAGGUCACUUGCUAUCUCAUGGUUUCUUACCUUUU